CCUACGGGGGGCAGCAGUGGGGAAUAUUGGACAAUGGGGGCAACCCUGAUCCAGCCAUGCCGCGUGUGUGAAGAAGGCCCUCGGGUUGUAAAGCACUUUCAGUGAGGAAGAACGCCUGGUGGUUAAUACCCAUCAGGAAAGACAUCACUCACAGAAGAAGCACCGGCUAACUCCGUGCCAGCAGCCGCGGUAAUACGGAGGGUGCGAGCGUUAAUCGGAAUUACUGGGCGUAAAGCGCGCGUAGGUGGCUUGAUAAGCCGGUUGUGAAAGCCCCGGGCUCAACCUGGGAACGGCAUCCGGAACUGUCAAGCUAGAGUGCAGGAGAGGAAGGUAGAAUUCCCGGUGUAGCGGUGAAAUGCGUAGAGAUCGGGAGGAAUACCAGUGGCGAAGGCGGCCUUCUGGACUGUCACUGACGCUGAGGUGCGAAAGCGUGGGUAGCAAACAGGAUUAGAUACCCGAGUAGUC
rnacentral:rRNA from 1 species